rnacentral:rRNA from 1 species
GACGAACCGUGCGAACGUUGUUCGGAAUCACUGGGCUUAAAGCGCACGUAGGCGGAUUGUUAAGUCAGGGGUGAAAUCCUGGAGCUCAACUCCAGAACUGCCUUUGAUACUGGCGAUCUUGAGUCCGGGAGAGGUGAGUGGAACUGCGAGUGUAGAGGUGAAAUUCGUAGAUAUUCGCAAGAACACCAGUGGCGAAGGCGGCUCACUGGCCCGGUACUGACGCUGAGGUGCGAAAGCGUGGGGAGCAAACAGG